AUUGAAACCAAGUCUGUUUGUUUGCCAAGAAAAUGGAGGACAAUGACAUAUAAGGAACUGAGAAUCUCGAGAGAAGCUGGGAUAGAGAUCUAGCUAAGAUUAAUCCAUAUAUAUUGACAAGCCAACUUCAAGAUAAACACUAUAAUUAAUAAUUAAUGAUAGUAUAUAUCUUGAAAAUUAAAGAAAAAAACUACGAUUUCUAAUAUAUCAAAGCACCCCUAUUAAUUACGCUAAUAUAUAUAACUACAGAUAUAUAUAAAUAUGGCUCAUCAAGAAUUGCAAUAAGCCAAUAAUACAAGCAGGCAAGCUAGCUAGCUUAGGUAGGUAGGUGAUUCAUAAUCAGGGCUCUCCACGCUCGCGCUCAUGCCAGCAAAUAAGCAUGGCUAUGCACCGGCGGAGAAUGUAGAACUUGGCCCGUUGCUUCUUCACCAAAUGGCUGCAUUUCUGGCCAAAAGUUCUGCAGGGUUCGCAUACAGCAUGGUUAUUAAAGGUGUUGUUCCUUUCCUCGUCAGCCAUUGAUCAUGAGAGAGAGAGGAAAUUGAGCUCAAACUAUAUAUUAUAUAUACUGUCACUGCAAGCAAUAAGUAGUUGAAGCAGUAAAAUAUAAAGGGCAGAGAUGGGAGCGUGGUGUGUAUUUAUAGAUAGAUGAAGAUGAUAAUCAAGUUGAGGUUAUGAUUAGUCUAG
rnacentral:misc_RNA from 1 species